CGUAUCUGCAGUCGAGGGGCAGCAGGUCUGUAGCAAUACAGAUGCUGGCGACCGGCAAACGGGUGAGGAACACGUACGCAACUUUCCUUCAAGUGGGGGAUAGCCCAGGGAAACUUGGAUUAAUACCCCAUAAUAUUACGAAGCGGCAUCGUUUUGUAAUUAAAGCUCCGGCGCUUGAAGAUGGGCGUGCGCCUGAUUAGGUAGUUGGCGGGGUAACGGCCCACCAAGCCUACGAUCAGUAACUGGUGUGAGAGCACGACCAGUCACACGGGCACUGAGACACGGGCCCGACUCCUACGGGAGGCAGCAGUAAGGAAUAUUGGGCAAUGGACGAAAGUCUGACCCAGCCAUGCCGCGUGGAGGAUGAAGGUCCUCUGGAUUGUAAACUUCUUUUAUCUGGGAAGAAAUCUACGGUUUCACUGUAGUUGACGGUACCAGAUGAAUAAGCACCGGCUAACUCCGUGCCAGCA
rnacentral:rRNA from 1 species